rnacentral:lncRNA from 1 species
ACAGGAAUAGAGGCUGUGCUGAUGUUAAAUGUCCCUCCUUUGUCUUUGCAGGAACCACUGUGGUACUAAGCAGAACCCCUAGGAUAUCAGGAACUCCCCACCCAGGAACUUCCAAGGAAACAGCUGAAACAACCACUGCUCCUGUGAUUGCUACUACAGUCCCUGCUUCCACCGGACCCAAAGAAUCUGCAGGAACGGGAGCACAAUCAGGAUGUCCAGCAACACCUCCACCAGCUCCAGUUUGUCAUGGUCCACUGGGAGAAAAGAAAUCUCCUGGAGACACUUGGACUGCCAAUUGCUACCAGUGUACCUGUACUGAUGCAAAGACUGUAGACUGUCGACCUAAAGAAUGUCCCUCUCCACCUACAUGCAAACCUGGGGAAAAGCGCGUCCUGUUUAAAGCUAAUGACACCUGCUGUGAAAUUGGACACUGUGAACCAAGGACAUGUUUCUAUAACAACACUGACUAUGAGAUUGGUGCUUCAUUCGAUGACCCCAGCAACCCUUGUGUCUCCUACUCCUGCAGUAGUGCUGGCUUGAUUACAGUCAUCCAGGACUGCCCGAAGCAGACCUGGUGUGCAGAAGUAAGUCACCUGCCCCCUUACCAAUAGCAAGAUCGCUUCUUGUUAAACACAAACCCAACCCAUCUUCUCUCACACGAAAAAGUUUGCACCUGGCCCGUACACUUAAAUCUCGUAGUCAUUUUGUUUUUGUACCGGUGAUCGAACUUAGGUCCUUGUGCUUGUGAUGCAGGCAGCAGAACCACUGAGCUAAAUCCCCAGC